GCGCUCGUGGUGGAAUUGGUAGACACGCAACCUUGAGGUGGUUGUGCCCAAAAGGCGUGAAGGUUCGAGUCCUUUCGAGCGCACCA
rnacentral:tRNA from 6 species